rnacentral:rRNA from 1 species
GGUUUCCGUNGGUGAACUGCGGAAGGAUCAUUGUCG